rnacentral:sRNA from 1 species
ACUCAACGCGAAUUUUUUAUAAAGGGUGAGUCAAUACUGCUAAAGCAUGCCUUGCCUUCUAAGGACCCUUGAUCAGUGUGUUAGCCCUAAUCUUGUAAUAACAAGAGUUU